rnacentral:rRNA from 1 species
GACGAACCGUACGAACGUUAUUCGGAAUCACUGGGCUUAAAGGGUGCGUAGGCGGUCCGAUAAGUUGGGUGUGAAAUCCCUCGGCUUAACCGAGGAAUUGCGCCCAAUACUGCCGGACUCGAGGGAGACAGAGGUGAGCGGAACUUAGGGUGGAGCGGUGAAAUGCGUUGAUAUCCUAAGGAACACCAGGGGCGAAGGCGGCUCACUGGGUCUCUUCUGACGCUGAGGCACGAAAGCUAGGGGAGCGAACGGG